CCUGCUUUAAGUUACAGUUUUACUGUGAACACUGAGGCUGUACCUGCUUUAAGUUACAGUUUUACUGUGAACACUGAGGCUCUACCUGCUUUAAGUUACAGUUUUACUGUGAACACUGAGGCUGUACCUGCUUUAAGUUACAGUUUUACUGUGAACACUGAGGCUCUACCUGCUUUAAGUUACAGUUUUACUGUGAACACUGAGGCUGUACCUGCUUUAAGUUACAGUUUUACUGUGAACACUGAGGCUGUACCUGCUUUAAGUUACAGUUUUACUGUGAACACUGAGGCUCUAC